GGCGAACGCUGGCGGCGUGCUUAACACAUGCAAGUCGUACGGUAAGGCCCUUUCGGGGGUACACGAGUGGCGAACGGGUGAGUAACACGUGAGUAACCUGCCCACAACUUUGGGAUAACGCUAGGAAACUGGUGCUAAUACUGGAUAUGUGCUCCUGCUGCAUGGUGGGGGUUGGAAAGCUCCGGCGGUUGUGGAUGGACUCGCGGCCUAUCAGCUUGUUGGUGGGGUAGUGGCCUACCAAGGCGGCGACGGGUAGCCGGCCUGAGAGGGUGACCGGCCACAUUGGGACUGAGAUACGGCCCAGACUCCUACGGGAGGCAGCAGUGGGGAAUAUUGCACAAUGGGCGCAAGCCUGAUGCAGCAACGCCGCGUGCGGGAUAACGGCCUUCGGGUUGUAAACCGCUUUCAGCAGGGACGAAGCUUUUUGUGACGGUACCUGCAGAAGAAGCACCGGCUAACUACGUG
rnacentral:rRNA from 1 species